GACGAACGCUGGCGGCGUGGAUUAGGCAUGCAAGUCGAACGGUAUCAUCCUUUCGGGGGUGAGAGAGUGGCGAACUGGUGAGUAACACGUAGGUUAUCUACCCUCAAGACGGGGACAACCCAGGGAAACUUGGGCUAAUACCGGAUGUGAGCAACUUUUAGUUGUUUGAAAGGUGGCGUAAGCUGUCGCUUGGGGAUGAGCCUGCGUCCUAUUAGUUAGUUGGUGAGGUAACGGCUCACCUAGGCAAUGAUAGGUAGGCGGCCUUAACGGGUGGUCGCCCAUACUGGGAUUGAGAUACGGCCCAGACUCCUACGGGAGGCAGCAGUCGAGAAUAGUCUACAAUGGUCGGAAGACUGAUAGUGCGACGCCGCGUGAACGAUGAAUCCCUUCGGGGUGUAAAGUUCUUUUAUAUGUGAGCAGUGCUUCUUAUAUUAACAGUAUGGGGAGAGAGAUAUUAGCAUAUGAAUAAGCAACGGCUAACUCCGUGCCAGCAGCCGCGGUAAAACG
rnacentral:rRNA from 1 species